UAGAGUUUGAUCCUGGCUCAGAUUGAACGCUGGCGGCAUGCUUUACACAUGCAAGUCGAACGGCAGCGCGGGCUUCGGCCUGGCGGCGAGUGGCGAACGGGUGAGUAAUAUAUCGGAACGUACCCAAGAGUGGGGGAUAACGUAGCGAAAGUUACGCUAAUACCGCAUACGAUCCAAGGAUGAAAGCAGGGGACCGCAAGGCCUUGUGCUCCUGGAACGGCCGAUAUCUGAUUAGCUAGUUGGUGAGGUAAAGGCUCACCAAGGCAACGAUCAGUAGCUGGUCUGAGAGGACGACCAGCCACACUGGAACUGAGACACGGUCCAGACUCCUACGGGAGGCAGCAGUGGGGAAUUUUGGACAAUGGGGGCAACCCUGAUCCAGCAAUGCCGCGUGAGUGAAGAAGGCCUUCGGGUUGUAAAGCUCUUUUGUCAGGGAAGAAAAGGGAGUGGCUAAUAUCCAUUCCUGCUGACGGUACCUGAAGAAUAAGCACCGGCUAACUACGUGCCAGCAGCCGCGGUAAUACGUAGGGUGCAAGCGUUAAUCGGAAUUACUGGGCGUAAAGCGUGCGCAGGCGGUUUUGUAAGUCUGUCGUGAAAGCCCCGGGCUUAACCUGGGAAUUGCGAUGGAGACUGCAAGGCUUGAAUCUGGCAGAGGGGGGUAGAAUUCCACGUGUAGCAGUGAAAUGCGUAGAGAUGUGGAGGAACACCGAUGGCGAAGGCAGCCCCCUGGGUCAAGAU
rnacentral:rRNA from 1 species